UAUUUUGGAAAGACAAACUGUAAGGUCUCUGCAUUCAGGAAAUUCAAAUGCUAUUUCAUGUUAUUGUGCAUUUUCUUAGCUAAAUUUUUUGUCCGUUACUAAAUUUCUCUUGAACAAUUCUUUAUGUCCUUGUUUGUUGGUUGGAUGUGCAAUUUCUAGAUUUGAUGCUGAAUAUGAAAAUUAUUGUACUUCUCCUGUUGGACUCAAUAUCCAAUGGCAAUAUGAUCAAUCUGAUAAAUUGUUUGAUUGGGCAUUUUAAUUUUCCUAUUCUCAUAGAAUGCAAGUUCCCAUUUACUGAAUUUGCGUUUUUUCAUCAUGUUUUUUCUAGUGAUAAAUGUAUAUGCUGAUUACUUUUUCUAUUUUCAUUUUUUCUAUUCAUGUCUAAAUUUUAGCUGGCCAUAUUCUUAAUACAGAUUUACCCUUUUGCAUGAAGAA
rnacentral:misc_RNA from 1 species